GAGGCUAUAGUUCAGUGGUAGAGCAUGUGCAUAGCAUGCACACAUUCCUGGGUUUAAUCCCCAGUACUUCCA
rnacentral:tRNA from 1 species